GCCUUUUCAUUCCUUUGUAGUAGUUGUGUCGUGCUUAGAAGCACCACUUGGUGUUCUAUUCCAACUCCUAGCGAUAAAAACCUCCUAUUUCCACGAAGGCUGCUGAUUGGCACUCGAAGGGACAAAAGAGCCCGAGGGGGGAAGUCUUCCCCAACCCAAUGACACAAGUACCCAGGUUCAUGGCCAUGUUGUCUAAUUAAGCCCAUCACGUGUAAGAGAGCUUCCAGCAGGAGCCCUGACAAGUUAACGGCAACAACGCCGAGUCACUAUGGCAACUCCCCCAGGAUGCCUCCCUGCAAUCUUUUGGGUGGAGUUUCCAAAUUGGGGUUAGAAGAUGUCUAGAAUAAAUUCUUGGAGAGUGGACUCGAAAGCCAUCAGGAGCCAGAGUGGGAUGGUUUCGCUUUCAGCUCAGAAGUGACCUCUAGCCGGGAAAACAUGGAGAACCAUCAAUCUUGUGAAGUGAGGACAUGACAUUAAGCUCUCCAGACCUCUUGCAACAGACCAGUGAGCUGAUGGAAGAACUACUGGAUUAUUCCAAAACUGUCUACAUACUGUUUGGAAAAAACAGACCAUCAUAUAAUGUCGCAUUCUAGCUAACUUUUAUUUGUUAUUAUUUAUAGUGUUGUUUAUUUUUAAUAUAUAUAAUUAUUUUAAUAAAUAACUUUAAUAAAAAUAACUAAUUAUUA